rnacentral:rRNA from 1 species
AUUGAACGCUGGCGGCAUGCUUUACACAUGCAAGUCGAACGGUAACAGGCCUUCGGGUGCUGACGAGUGGCGAACGGGGGAGUAAUGCAUCGGAACGUGCCCAGAGGCGGGGGAUAACGCAGCGAAAGCUGUGCUAAUACCGCAUGUGAUCUGAGUAUGAAAGCGGGGGACCAGGCAGCAAUGUUUGGCCUCGCGCCUUUGGAGCGGCCGAUGUCUGAUUAGGUAGUUGGUGGGGUAAAGGCCUACCAAGGCGACGAUCGGUAGCUGGUCUGAGAGGAAGGACACACACCCUGGGACUGAGACACAGCCCAGACUCCUGCGGGAGGCCGCAGCGGGGAAUUUUAGACGAUGGGCCAGAGCCUGAUACAGCAAAACGGCGUGAGGGAAGAAGGACCUCGGGUGGUAAACCGAUUUUGUACGGAAGGUAGAGGAUCUCGCUAAUCCCUGAGGAUGAUGACGGUACCGGAAGAAUAAGCACCGGCUAACUCCGUG